AUUGAACGCUGGCGGCAGGCCUAACACAUGCAAGUCGAACGGAGUGGCGGACGGGUGAGUAAUGUCUGGGAAACUGCCUGAUGGAGGGGGAUAACUACUGGAAACGGUAGCUAAUACCGCAUAAUAUCAGAUGAGGCUAGGUUGGAUUAGCGAGUUGGUGGGGUAAAGGCCUACCAAGGCGACGAUCCGUAACUGGUGUGAGAGGAUGAUCAGUCACCCUGGAACUGAGACACGGUCCAGACUCCUACGGUAGGCAGCAGUGGGGAAUAUUGGACAAUGGGCGAAAGCCUGAUCCAGCCAUGCCGCGUGUGUGAAGAAGGUCUUCGGAUUUUAAAGCACUUUAAGUUGGGAGGCGUUACCAACAGAAUAAGCACCGGCUAACUUCGUGCCAGCAGCCGCGGUAAUAC
rnacentral:rRNA from 1 species